rnacentral:tmRNA from 1 species
GGGGGCGAACAGGUUCGACGUUGGUUAGUGUCGACGGUUCAGCAGGUCAUGGUUGACCAGGCCAUGUAAAACAGGGUUAAAAAAAUAAAAGCCAACUCCAACGAGUUAGCCUGGGCCCGCGCUUAAGCAGGCCUCGCUGGCAGGCGGAUUUCCGUGCUGUCUGUUCAGUGUUAAUUUACGGAAUGCUGUUCUGUAGCCCGCGUUUCGUGGCGGCAGGGCUUAAGACAAUACGGAACAUGUCAGGCCAUUGGCGUCCCGGCCUUAUGCCUGGCGAGAUUUAUCCGGGGCUAAGCCUGUAGCGGUUCCGGCGUGCAGCCGGCGGACCCGGGUGCGAAUCCCGGCGCCUCCAUAC